GUCCUUCUUGGAGCGGUUAUAUGAUUUAUCAUCAUCACCAUCAUCCGUACUAGGUGAUAGCUCACUUGAUGAUGCAUCAUACACCUCCUUUUCUUUCUUCUUCUCUUCUUCUUUCUUUGCUGCCCUUCUUUUGGCUCGCUCUUCUCUUUUGGCUUUUCUUUCUUCUUUUCUCUUCUUCUUGGCAGCUAGCUUUUCAUCUUAUUUUCUUUUUGCUUUAGCUUCUCUUCUUGCUUGCCUCCUUUGCCUUCUCUCGGGGUCGGUAGUCAUACCACCAUC
rnacentral:lncRNA from 1 species